rnacentral:rRNA from 1 species
GACGAACGCUGGCGGCGUGCUUAACACAUGCAAGUCGAACGGUAAGGCCCUUCGGGGUACACGAGUGGCGAACGGGUGAGUAACACGUGGGUGAUCUGCCCUGCACUUCGGGAUAAGCCUGGGAAACUGGGUCUAAUACCGGAUAGGACCACUGCAUGCAUGGGUGGUGGUGGAAAGCUUUUGCGGUGUGGGAUGGGCCCGCGGCCUAUCAGCUUGUUGGUGGGGUGAUGGCCUACCAAGGCGACGACGGGUAGCCGGCCUGAGAGGGUGGCCGGCCACACUGGGACUGAGAUACGGCCCAGACUCCUACGGGAGGCAGCAGUGGGGAGUAUUGCACAAUGGGCGCAAGCCUGAUGCAACGACGCCGCGUGAGGGAUGACGGCCUUCGGGUUGUAAACCUCUUUCAGCACCGACGAAGCGCAAGUGACGGUAGGUGCAGAAGAAGGACCGGCCAACUACGUGCCAGCCGCCGCCGUAA